GACGAACGCUGGCGGCGUGCCUAACACAUGCAAGUCGAACGGGGUGAAGAGCUUCGGCUUUUCACUUAGUGGCGAACGGGUGAGUAACGCGUGAGAAACCUGCCUUUCAGUGGGGGACAACAGUUGGAAACGACUGCUAAUACCGCAUAAUGUAUUUUGGGGGCAUCCCUUGAAUACCAAAGCUUUAUGUGCUGAAAGAUGGUCUCGCGUCUGAUUAGCUAGUUGGUGAGGUAACGGCUCACCAAGGCGACGAUCAGUAGCCGGUCUGAGAGGAUGAACGGCCACAUUGGGACUGAGAUACGGCCCAGACUCCUACGGGAGGCAGCAGUGGGGGGAUAUUGCGCAAUGGGGGAAACCCUGACGCAGCAACGCCGCGUGCAGGAUGACGGCCUUCGGUUGUAAACUGUUGUCGCAAGGGAAGAAAAAAUAGACGGUACCUUGUGAGAAAGACCACGGCUAACUACGUG
rnacentral:rRNA from 1 species